rnacentral:rRNA from 1 species
UACGGAAGGCCCGAGCGUUAUCCGGAUUCAUUGGGCUUAAAGGGAGCGUAGGCGGGUGUUCAAGUCAGCUGUAAAAUCGCGCGGCUCAACCGCGCCCCGCAGUUGAAACUGGACGCCUUGAGUGCAUGCGAGGCAGGCGGAAUUCGUGGUGUAGCGGUGAAAUGCAUAGAUAUCACGAGGAACCCCGAUUGCGAAGGCAGCCUGCCGGUGUGCCACUGACGCUGAGGCUCGAAGGUGCGGGUAUCAAACAGG